UAAAUACCGACCUGCAUGAAUGGCGUAACGAGAUGGGAGCUGUCUCAAAGAGGGAUCCAGUGAAAUUGUAGUGGAGGUGAAAAUUCCUCCUACCCGCGGCAAGACGGAAAGACCCCGUGGACCUUUACUACAGCUUGACACUGCUACUUGGAUAAGAAUGUGCAGGAUAGGUGGGAGGCUUUGAGUAUAUGACGCCAGUUGUAUAUGAGCCAUUGUUGAGAUACCACUCUUUCUUAUUUGGGUAGCUAACCAGCUUGAGUUAUCCUCAAGUGGGACAAUGUCUGGUGGGUAGUUUGACUGGGGCGGUCGCCUCCCAAAUAAUAACGGAGGCUUACAAAGGUUGGCUCAGAACGGUUGGAAAUCGUUCGUAGAGUAUAAAGGUAUAAGCCAGCUUAACUGCAAGACAUACAAGUCAAGCAGAGACGAAAGUCGGUCUUAGUGAUCCGGUGGUUCUGUGUGGAAGGGCCAUCGCUCAAAGGAUAAAAGGUACCCCGGGGAUAACAGGCUGAUCUCCCCCAAGAGCUCACAUCGACGGGGA
rnacentral:rRNA from 1 species